AAGACUAUAGACCUGCGGAGUACCUGCGGAGGGAUCAUUACCGAGGUUAAACUCUCCUUGCGAGAGCCUCUCACACUUGCUUUGGCAAUUAGUUGCUUCGACGGAGCGCAAGUCAAUUGCCGCUGGCCUUUUGGGUUGGCGAGUCUCCGUCGAAGUUUUUUACUCUCCAACUUUUAUGAGUCUGUUUCAAUUUCAAAUUGAAAAAAAACUUUUAGCAAUGGAUCUCUAGAUCGGAAGAGC
rnacentral:misc_RNA from 1 species